AGUACUGGAGGAGGGCAGCAUAUAGUCUGCCUUCUCCAGCAGCACAAGGGACAUGCUGGCAAGAGGAGAUAGCUAGAACCAUAAGGUCAAGUUUCAGGGAGAGACAGUGAGGAGCUGUGAUCCUGUGAAGAACAGGUUGUGGAAGGAGAGCUCAGUGUAGAGCUGGAGCAUGAAUACCAUUCACUGCAGGCACAAUCAGAACAGCUGAGCAGUUGGAUCAAGUGUGCAUGGAGCUGCUCAAAUCUCCACACAAGCAGAAGACCAAGUGUCCAUCAAAGGAGUCAGCCAGCAAGAGCUACUUUGGAAGUGCUCAGGGUAAUUUGAUUUACCCUAAUGAAACAAAAUGGUUUGGGUAGCUCACAGAUGUCCUGUUUUAUCAAGAAGGAAAAGCUCGGAUGAAAAUGGAUCAUGAUCAGUAUGAAACCUUCUCAUCUUGUCUGCAGCAUUUUUCUUAUCUUCUGUUUCUUACUGAUGCAUGUUAUUUCAGCACAGAGCAGAUGUGAUCCAACCCUUCAUUUGAAGAUCUGAAAGGAGUCUAUAAACAUUAACCAGAUGAGCUUCCCAACACCUGUGGGCUACGUAUUGUUAUAUUCAUUUUACAGCCCUGAUCCUGAGAAGUGCUGAGAACCUGCUGCCUCAAUUGUCCAUCAUUCUACCUCUCACCAUCAGGCUCAAUGGCUGCAUGAUCUGGACUAAACACUGAAGAUGCAGUAUAUUGGUGAAGUUCCCUGUGCAGAAAGCCAGCAAAAAGCAUACGUACCACUUAUGUGACACCUGAACCCUCAAAAUAUGACUUAAAUGGGAUUCAAGUGGUGGACAGGCCUCAUGCCAUCACUCUGCACAGGGGAUAUUUUCACCCUUUGUGAACUAUUCCAGCCUCCAUAAACAAUUUACAUCGCCAAACAACGUUGUACUGUUUUCAUAAAAAUCCUAGCAACUGGGCAUAUCUUUUUUAAAUAAACACAUGGGAAAAUAAAGUAUUGUUUGUGUGAAGGAGAAUUUGCUAUUUAUUAGACACAUUUUCUAUUUGACUGGAAACAGCGUCUGUGGGAUCUGUGCCAAUUAGCUGUGUCUGGCACUCCAGAGAUUAAGAGGGAUCAGGACAUCUAUUUGCAAUGGGGGCUCAAUAUUUCUUCUCUACUUUCAUCCGCUGAAAGAUGCCAAGCGCCCUUUGUUGUGUGAGAUACCACAGAUCAAGUCAAACAUACAGACUGACUUGUAUCUGAUCAUAAAGAGCCUGAUGUAUAGUACAUCUCAUUGGUUUGUGGAACUGCAGUGGGAUUCUUGCUUUGUGGAGCCGUGGUCAGUUUUUGCAGUCUUGGAAAAGGAUCACCACACUCAAACAACUGCCAGGAGUUUUCUGAGGGGUAUUGUGACCUUGGACAGAUGCUCCACUCAGCAGCUCAGAUGCUAGAAAAGAGCAUGGAAUAUAUAGAUGUGAUUGAAAUGCUAGCAUCUAUAUAUUAUGGUGAUGUGCAGAGAGACAGACAGAAUCUGCUGCCUUUAUUUUUAUCCACCACACGGCAACAAAAUGUAUAUGAUUUUAAAAGAACAGUCAAUAAUUACAUGCAAGGUAUUUUCCACCGUUCUUUUCUCAGAAAAAAAUGCAAGUUAGUUUAUUCAGUCUCUCUCUCUCUCUCUCUGAAGUAUGACCGUACUAUAGCAGCACCAAAGAACAGCAAAUUCAUCUGCCCCUUCAACCAUAAGUCCUUUUAGCAUGCACAGCAAAGAGGGCCAUGCCCCUUUCUGGGAUACAGCCUUCCAAAAUUCUGCUCAUGGACAGUGACAACUAUUCGGCUCAAUAUUUUGGGAAAGAAAAGGAACCAGGGAGAGGAAAGUGACGUGGCAGUUGAAAAGUGAAGCUUAAGCUGAUCUUAUGACUGAAAGGUUAAGAGUAGGGAGGAGGGCACAUUUAAAUAGCAUU